GAUGUUCGGAGUGAUAAACACCGUAUCAAGACUGGAUCAUCUGGACCCUCCCAAACCACCGAAAUGCAUUACAAUGCGUUAUGUGUUCUCUGAGACACACUUUGAUCGAGGAAUAAAUGACUUUCUCUGCAAUUAUGUUAAUAAUUAUCUCGGUGGGAAGCAUGAAAAUGUUUUGGAUGAGCUGAUAGCCUCUCUGUGCACGUUUGGCAUCACAGCCCUCUGGCUGGGACCAAGCUGGGU